rnacentral:rRNA from 1 species
UUAAGCGACCAAGCGUACACGGUGGAUGCCCUGGCAGUCAGAGGCGAUGAAGGACGUGCUAAUCUGCGAUAAGCGCCGGUAAGGUGAUAUGAACCGUUAUAACCGGCGAUUUCCGAAUGGGGAAACCCAGUGUGACUCGUCACACUAUCAUUACGUGAAUACAUAGCGUAAUGAAGCGAACCGGGGGAACUGAAACAUCUAAGUACCCCGAGGAAAAGAAAUCAACCGAGAUUCCCCCAGUAGCGGCGAGCGAACGGGGAGGAGCCCAGAGCCUGAAUCAGCAUGUGUGUUAGUGGAAGCGUCUGGAAAGGCGCGCGAUACAGGGUGACAGCCCCGUACACAAAAGCGCAUAUGCUGUGAGCUCGAUGAGUAGGGCGGGACACGUGGUAUCCUGUCUGAAUAUGGGGGGACCAUCCUCCAAGGCUAAAUACUCCUGACUGACCGAUAGUGAACCAGUACCGUGAGGGAAAGGCGAAAAGAACCCCGGCGAGGGGAGUGAAACAGAACCUGAAACCGUGUACGUACAAGCAGUGGGAGCACAGGUUUACCUGUGUGACUGCGUACCUUUUGUAUAAUGGGUCAGCGACUUAUAUUCUGUAGCAAGGUUAACCGCAUAGGGAGCCGAAGGGAAACCGAGUCUUAACCGGGCGUUAAGUUGCAGGGUAUAGACCCGAAACCCGGUGAUCUAGCCAUGGGCAGGUUGAAGGUUGGGUAACACUAACUGGAGGACCGAACCGACUAAUGUUGAAAAAUUAGCGGAUGACCUGUGGCUGGGGGUGAAAGGCCAAUCAAACCGGGAGAUAGCUGGUUCUCCCCGAAAGCUAUUUAGGUAGCGCCUCGUGAACUCAUCUCCGGGGGUAGAGCACUGUUUCGGCUAGGGGGCCAUCCCGGCUUACCAACCCGAUGCAAACUGCGAAUACCGGAGAAUGUUAUCACGGGAGACACACGGCGGGUGCUAACGUCCGUCGUGAAGAGGGAAACAACCCAGACCGCCAGCUAAGGUCCCAAAGUCAUGGUUAAGUGGGAAACGAUGUGGGAAGGCCCAGACAGCCAGGAUGUUGGCUUAGAAGCAGCCAUCAUUUAAAGAAAGCGUAAUAGCUCACUGGUCGAGUCGGCCUGCGCGGAAGAUGUAACGGGGCUAAACCAUGCACCGAAGCUGCGGCAGCGAACGUAUCACUUAAAACGAUUCAGAAACUUACGACUGACGGAGCGAAGCGACGUCAAAGCGUAUACAAAGUCGAGUCGGUUUAAGGAUACGUUCGUUGGGUAGGGGAGCGUUCUGUAAGCCGUUGAAGGUGUGUCGUGAGGCAUGCUGGAGGUAUCAGAAGUGCGAAUGCUGACAUAAGUAACGAUAAAGCGGGUGAAAAGCCCGCUCGCCGGAAGACCAAGGGUUCCUGUCCAACGUUAAUCGGGGCAGGGUGAGUCGACCCCUAAGGCGAGGCCGAAAGGCGUAGUCGAUGGGAAACGGGUUAAUAUUCCCGUACUUGGUGUUACUGCGAAGGGGGGACGGAGAAGGCUAUGUUGGCCGGGCGACGGUUGUCCCGGUUUAAGCGUGUAGGCUGACUUUCCAGGCAAAUCCGGAGAGUCAAGGCUGAGGCGUGACGACGAGGCACUACGGUGCUGAAGCAACAAAUGCCCUGCUUCCAGGAAAAGCCUCUAAGCAUCAGGUAACAUCAAAUCGUACCCCAAACCGACACAGGUGGUCAGGUAGAGAAUACCAAGGCGCUUGAGAGAACUCGGGUGAAGGAACUAGGCAAAAUGGUGCCGUAACUUCGGGAGAAGGCACGCUGACAUGUAGGUGAAGUGGUUUACCCAUGGAGCUGAAGUCAGUCGAAGAUACCAGCUGGCUGCAACUGUUUAUUAAAAACACAGCACUGUGCAAACACGAAAGUGGACGUAUACGGUGUGACGCCUGCCCGGUGCCGGAAGGUUAAUUGAUGGGGUCAGCGCAAGCGAAGCUCCUGAUCGAAGCCCCGGUAAACGGCGGCCGUAACUAUAACGGUCCUAAGGUAGCGAAAUUCCUUGUCGGGUAAGUUCCGACCUGCACGAAUGGCGUAAUGAUGGCCAGGCUGUCUCCACCCGAGACUCAGUGAAAUUGAACUCGCUGUGAAGAUGCAGUGUACCCGCGGCAAGACGGAAAGACCCCGUGAACCUUUACUAUAGCUUGACACUGAACAUUGAGCCUUGAUGUGUAGGAUAGGUGGGAGGCUUUGAAGCGUGGACGCCAGUCUGCGUGGAGCCAACCUUGAAAUACCACCCUUUAAUGUUUGAUGUUCUAACGUGGACCCGUGAUCCGGGUUGCGGACAGUGUCUGGUGGGUAGUUUGACUGGGGCGGUCUCCUCCUAAAGAGUAACGGAGGAGCACGAAGGUUGGCUAAUCCUGGUCGGACAUCAGGAGGUUAGUGCAAUGGCAUAAGCCAGCUUGACUGCGAGCGUGACGGCGCGAGCAGGUGCGAAAGCAGGUCAUAGUGAUCCGGUGGUUCUGAAUGGAAGGGCCAUCGCUCAACGGAUAAAAGGUACUCCGGGGAUAACAGGCUGAUACCGCCCAAGAGUUCAUAUCGACGGCGGUGUUUGGCACCUCGAUGUCGGCUCAUCACAUCCUGGGGCUGAAGUAGGUCCCAAGGGUAUGGCUGUUCGCCAUUUAAAGUGGUACGCGAGCUGGGUUUAGAACGUCGUGAGACAGUUCGGUCCCUAUCUGCCGUGGGCGCUGGAGAAUUGAGGGGGGCUGCUCCUAGUACGAGAGGACCGGAGUGGACGCAUCACUGGUGUUCGGGUUGUCAUGCCAAUGGCACUGCCCGGUAGCUAAAUGCGGAAGAGAUAAGUGCUGAAAGCAUCUAAGCACGAAACUUGCCCCGAGAUGAGUUCUCCCUGAGACUUAAAGUCUCCUGAAGGAACGUUAAAGACGAUGACGUUGAUAGGCCGGGUGUGUAAGCGCAGCGAUGCGUUGAGCUAACCGGUACUAAUGAACCGUGAGGCUUAACCUU